rnacentral:rRNA from 1 species
UGGGGAAUAUUGCACAAUGGGCGCAAGCCUGAUGCAGCCAUGCCGCGUGUGUGAAGAAGGCCUUCGGGUUGUAAAGCACUUUCAGCGAGGAGGAAGGGUAGUGUGUUAAUAGCACAUUGCAUUGACGUUACUCGCAGAAGAAGCACCGGCUAACUCCGUGCCAGCAGCCGCGGUAAUACGGAGGGUGCAAGCGUUAAUCGGAAUUACUGGGCGUAAAGCGCACGCAGGCGGUUUGUUAAGUCAGAUGUGAAAUCCCCGCGCUUAACGUGGGAACUGCAUUUGAAACUGGCAAGCUAGAGUCUUGUAGAGGGGGGUAGAAUUCCAGGUGUAGCAGUGAAAUGCGUAGAGAUCUGGAGGAAUACCGGUGGCGAAGGCGGCCCCCUGGACAAAGACUGACGCUCAGGUGCGAAAGCGUGGGGAGCAAACA